rnacentral:RNase_P_RNA from 1 species
UGUGCAGCCAUAGCUUAUCGCUGCAUAGCAAUAUGCAGAGGAAAGUCCGGACAAUGUCGGGUCAUCACACCAUUUAACAGAUGGCUCAGGAUUCGCGUCCUGAAGAGAACGUGUCACAGAAAAUUACCGUCCCGCCUGGCGGGAUAAGGGUGAAAACGUGUGGUAAGAGCGCACGCAUCAGGCUGGUAACAGUUUGUUGGGAUAAACCUUGUGAAUUGAAAUGCCAUGUAUAUCUAUCGUUCGAAAGAAUGCCAGGACCCGUGGUUGCGCAAGCAGGUAGAGGGGUAGGCAGCUUAGAUAAAUGAUAAGCACUUUAUGAUUUAUUCAUAAAGUACAGAAUCCGGCUUAUUUGGCUUUUUAAAAU